ACCAGACCAAGCUUCCUUACAAACACACAUCUGAGUCGUCUCUUGCUCUUCCCCUUAAUAAUCAUCGUUUCUGAUUUCUACAGUUCACAGUUUCUUUGUAUUUAUCACUGUGCACUCACACUCAUUCAAUUACGAUAUUUUCUCCAAUCUAGAUGAGGAAGCUAUCCUUUCACCUCCCCUUCAUUGAAGCUCACAUUCAACCAUAUUCGACAACCUCUGUUCUACUGGCGAUGAAAUCGGUUCAAAACUCUGAGAGCAAACGAAGCCCUGAACGAAAUCAGAGAAAGAAGAUCAGACUAUGAAUCUGAGAAUAUGAAAGAUGACGAAAACAGAGAUCUGGCAGAUAACAAAGCCAUCGAGUUUUGGAUCCUACAUUUGGCAAGAGCCUAUCGACGAAAUAGGGAGUGUUUUGAAGCUGUCCCCCGAACCUGAUAUAUCUUCUCGAUGGAAAUUCCAAUAAUUAUUGAUGGUUGAAUCAUCACAAACUUCACUAACUCAGAAGAUAAACGAUAACCGGUCGAAAACCAAAGCAGCCCUCUUUGAUGUAAUCAGAAGUGGAUCUACAGCCUUUGCCAACUAUCUGAAACCAACAAUCAGUUUGCAACCUGACCCGAUCAAGUGCUUAAAGAAAAGAAACAAGAGUCUUGAGCAAAACUUGAUUUUUGGAACUCAACUCCAAGAUUGGUUUGAGCCGGUAAAGAAGAAAAUCAAAGCAACCACCCCAUUCAAAUAUUUUGCAUCAUGAACGUGCCUCUCAAUCUCAGGGGAGACUGUUUGGGUAAAAUGAAUAGAUUUUUGAAUCCUUUCGCUUAUUUCCCCUUUCAUUCUAUGGCAGAAGCUCAAUUUUGAUGAAUAGUUCAAGCUGUUGUCAUGGCUGGACUUAAUGGCAAGUUUUUCUCCUACACAAUUAGUUCUUUAAUUUUUUUUCCUUCACCAGCUGCACUGCGAUCUAACCUGUGAUAUGUCCUCUUAUAUUAGACUGAGAGGCACCAGCUAGAUGAUCAAUGAACUUCUCUUAGUUUACCUGUUUUUACAAUUUUGUUUUCUUUAUGUGCGGUGAGAAUGGACAUAAGAGUAUCACUGUAGGUAAAGUAUCAAGUUUUGUCUUUAAUACGUUGUGUACAUGGGUAUCUAGAUGGAUAUGACUUUGAAGGUAUUCCUUAGAUUUCACACCAAAACAAAUGUGUUUAUAUUUGUGUUUGUGUUUUCAUUCAUCUUACUGUGUUCUAAAUAAUGUUUUUGGAUCAUA